rfam:Basidiobolus meristosporus CBS 931.73 K493scaffold_466, whole genome shotgun sequence.
CACUCUCGUUUCCUCUUCAUCUUGUCGGAUAAAUCUUUCGCCUUUUACUAAAGAUUUCCGUGGAGGGGAAACAUCCAAGAGAGUUGUCGAAUUUUUUUGUGCCGCCUCUCAGAGGUGGCU